rnacentral:rRNA from 1 species
CCUACGUGAGGCAGCAGUGGGGAAUAUUGGGCAAUGGGCGCAAGCCUGACCCAGCAACGCCGCGUGAAGGAAGAAGGCUUUCGGGUUGUAAACUUCUUUUCUCAGGGACGAAGCAAGUGACGGUACCUGAGGAAUAAGCCACGGCUAACUACGUGCCAGCAGCCGCGGUAAUCCGUAGAUGGCAAGCGUUAUCCGGAUUUACUGGGUGUAAAGGGCGUGUAGGCGGGACUGCAAGUCAGAUGUGAAAACCAUGGGCUCAACCUAUGGCCUGCAUUUGAAACUGUAGUUCUUGAGUACUGGAGAGGCAGACGGAAUUCCGAGUGUAGCGGUGAAAGGCGUAGAUAUUAGGAGGAACACCAGUGGCGAAGGCGGUCUGCUGGACAGCAACUGACGCUGAGGAGCGAAAGCGUGGGUAGCAAACAGGAUUAGAUACCCCGGUAGUC